AUUGAACGCUGGCGGCAUGCCUUACACAUGCAAGUCGAACGGUAACAGGUCUUCGGAUGCUGACGAGUGGCGAACGGGUGAGUAAUACAUCGGAACGUGCCUAGUAGUGGGGGAUAACUACUCGAAAGAGUGGCUAAUACCGCAUGAGAUCUACGGAUGAAAGCAGGGGAUCGCAAGACCUUGUGCUACUAGAGCGGCCGAUGGCAGAUUCGGUAGUUGGUGGGAUAAAAGCUUACCAAGCCGACGAUCUGUAGCUGGUCUGAGAGGACGAUCAGCCACACUGGGACUGAGACACGGCCCAGACUCCUACGGGAGGCAGCAGUGGGGAAUUUUGGACAAUGGGCGCAAGCCUGAUCCAGCAAUGCCGCGUGCAGGAUGAAGGCCUUCGGGUUGUAAACUGCUUUUGUACGGAACGAAAAGCCCUGGGUUAAUACCCUGGGGUCAUGACGGUACCGUAAGAAUAAGCACCGGCUAACUACGUGCAGCCGCCGCAGUAAGAC
rnacentral:rRNA from 1 species